UCCCCCCCUACAGCCCUAUCUUUUUCUCCAUCCCCCUUUCCUCUCAUUUCUUACCUUUCCUACUAUUUCCUCACUUUCCAGCAAAAACUUUGGGCUCAAUCCAAGCAAAAGAACUAAACAGACUGGGAUGAGAAGUUGGUCAGAUGAAGAGCUAGCGCUAAUGAAUGGCUGCUGAGAGAAGGGGAAUCAGCUUUCUCCACAGAGAGUUCCAUGAUAGGUUAUCCAAUCCCAAGUGGUCAGCCCUAAAUACAGGUAUCUGUUUACCCGGAGAACUUUUCCACUGUGGCUCUGAAAAAUCUGACCCUCCCGUGGAUCCUCGCGUGCCCCUGCUGCUCCACUUUCCGGAUUGAUAUGAAAAGACUCCUUUGGAUAAACGAGAGACCGAGAGACCGUAUUUCUUUCAGAAAGUUGC